UGGGGAAUAUUGGACAAUGGGGGGAACCCUGAUCCAGCAAUACCGCGUGUGUGAAGAAGGCCUUCGGGUUGUAAAGCACUUUUGUCAGGGAGAAUGGUAGUUGAGGUUAAUACUCUCAGCUAUUGAUGUUACCUGAAGAAUAAGCACCGGCUAACUCCGUGCCAGCAGCCGCGGUAAUACGGGGGGUGCAAGCGUUAAUCGGAAUUACUGGGCGUAAAGGGCGCGUAGGCGGUUAUUUAAGUUAGAUGUGAAAGCCCAGGGCUCAACCUUGGAAUUGCAUUUAAUACUGGAUAACUAGAGUGUGGUAGAGAGUAGCGGAAUUUCUGGUGUAGCGGUGAAAUGCGUAGAUAUCAGAAGGAACAUCAAUGGCGAAGGCAGCUACUUGGGCCAACACUGACGCUGAGGCGCGAAAGCGUGGGGAGCAAACA
rnacentral:rRNA from 1 species